CCGAUGGCAAAGUUUGCGUCCCGAGGGCGUCCCGCCCGAGGGACAGCAAUUGCCUGAGGUUAUUAAGGCUCAUUAAUUCCCGUGGUACAUAGAUAAUUUUAUUUCUGACCGAUUUCAAUAAAAUAUUGUUUAUUUUUAAAACGGAAAAAAUGUACCAAUUUAUUACCUUCCCAGUAUAUUUGAAUCAGGUACCAUUGAUUAUAAGAGUUUUGUUGUUGCUAGGUUGUUGCUAUGUUACGUGUUUAUAAACAGAAUUGUUACUUGCUUAUAAACAGUACUUUGUUAUCAAGCUGUGUUUGCGUUAAAAACGUGUUUUCUACCCCAAAUAUAAUGGAGCAGAUUUUGAAGAAAGCUGAAAAAGCAAGAGAAUCAUUAAUUCCAUCGAAAAGUGAAGCCGUAUACCAAAAAGAAUACAAGAUAUAUCUGGAGUGGCUGACACGGAAUAAUGUUAUGCCAAAAGAUGCCACUGAAACUGUAUUACUGGCAUAUUUUCAAGAAUUGUCAGAAACGUAUUGUCCGAAUUCUUUAUGAACUAAAUGGUCAAUGCUAAAAUCGAAGGUGAAUAUACAUGAGAAACGAGAUAUCGCCAAGUUCAAUGAACUAGAGGCUUUUUUGAAACGGAAGAGUAAGAGUUAUAAGCCGAAAAAGUCUGCUGUUUUAUCUCCUAAUGAUGUUAUCAGAUUUCUAAAGAACGCUCCUAAUGAAAUUCAUUUAUUGCAUAAGGUUGUUUUGAUUAUGGGUUAUUUU